GGGUCAACUAUGGCCGACGUUGGUUUUUCAAUACUCUGAGAAAUAAGUGAUUUUUUUUAAGUGAUUGCAUAUUAAAAAAAGGAUUCUGGAUAGUAAAAUAAAGUAUAUAAAUGCCUGUGGCUGACGUGGGUAAGCGAGGGCCAUUUGAUAGAGGUGUAUACAUUAUCGAUGUGCGCAAGCCGGCUCGAACCCAGAACCCACCAGCCUGAGACCGAAGCCCGAGAAGCUCUAGAGUGCACCUAAAAUCAAUACAAUGGAUAUGGCGCUCUACAUGAGGACAUACUGGUUAAGCAAGCUACUUCUGGUUGGAAUGCUUCAAGUUUCACCUGAAAACUCAGAGUACAUUUAAUGUGCAAAGGUGUGAAUGUUUAUUGUGCAUAUGGAGUGCGUUUAUUAAAAAAGACUGUCCGUUUUAUUUGUAUGAAGUUGCCUCAUAGAUAAGUUUAUGAUUUGAUUACUUAUGUAAACAGCAGUAAUAGCAGACACAUUAAGCGUGUUUUUUCCAGAACAGCUCAUUGAUCUUUGAUUUAAGUGAAAACUUUUCUUAGUGGAACAUAAAAUGUGGAAAUGCAUGAGAUUUGCAUAAAUUAGGAUAUUGGUUAACAGGGUCUGCACGUAUUUACGAAUAUGUCCCGCUUCGCGUCUAGUUAAGUUUGAACACUAUUCAAGGCAUUCGCAAAUAAAGUAAAAAAAAUGUUAAACAAAGUAAUCAAUGUAUUUAUCCAAAUUUUCUGAUUCAAAAGUAGUUUUGGUUGCACUUUAAGAUAACGAUUACAAUUGGAACAUAUCAAAAUGUGUGAAUGCUUUUAAGGCAGUAUUACAUUUACCGUACGUCGGCAUAUUCCCUUGAUAUUGCUGUAACUCUGUUAUUAUGCAAGUAAGCACACUCGAUUGGCUUUUGUCACCAGUUUCGGAACCAUAAUUAGAUGAUUCUUCCAUUCCAACAAAUGGAAGACUAUCCUUAUAAGUUGACGUAUUAAUAUUUUUAAUAAGCACAUACUGGUAGCACAUCAGUUCCUGCUGAUGUAUAUGUACACAGUAUUAUUUGAAAACCAAUUGGACAUGUAUUUCGAAUAAGUUUUAAAAAAAACAUUGUACACAAUGGUAUGUCUUUGUAAGUUUCAAAUUCAUGAAGUUGCCGCAUAGUUUUAUUUCGCUACAUUAAGCGGUAGUGUUGUGUUCCUUGUCCAAAAGACCACAGUUAUCUAUGAAUCUAGUAAAGCAUUUGCAUAAUUCCACAAUACCCCAUCGGUAAUGGAACAUAUAUAAAAUGAAAUUAUGUCAAUCAACUGAUACAAUUGAUACACAUUUUACAUGGAUG